UUACCUUGGUGUACUUGAUCUCGAGGUUGGGCGUGGGCGACGGCAGGAGCUGCAGCGAGGCCAUGAGCGCGGCGGGGUCGGCCUUCACCUCGCCCGGCAUGGCGAUCUCGCUGGAAGUCAUGGGCGGCCACGCAAGGAGAACCUUCUGGAACCGCCGACGCCGCGCUGGCCCCCACCAGGCUUCUCAGCCCAACUGCUGCCCUCUGCCGGCCCCGCGGCCUAGUUGUGCCUGAGGCCGUGGGCUUCAUCUGCCUUGGGUUGCCUGGAUAUUCCAGGUCUUGAUGGUCUCCUUCCAGCCCUUUCCUUUCCUCUUCCCAUCCACACCGGGAAACACUUGGGAUUUUCUGUUGCUCUUCCUGUCAGAAUCUCCGGGUUGAGCUUCCAUCUCCAUCCCUUCUCGUCUUACAAGCAGCCUUAUAGUUGAGUAAAGAUGGGCGCUGAUCAGGAAUCAGUAGCCUAGACAGUUCACUCCAGAUAGCGUGGGAGAAUCAUUGGACCAAUAUCACGAGCCCAUAUAGAUAGCUCUUUAUAGGGCUUUCUGCCUCUAUCCCCAUGAAAAUCCCACAGCCUUAUCCAACCUGACUCUUCCUGUUUUUCUAUGGAAGACUCUCAACUCCCAAGCAACUGCUUCGCUCUUGCUCAAUCAUUUCUUUGCAUGUUGUUCACUACAAAACACUUACUUUAGAUGUGUUCAUUAACUAAAAUUCCGUAAAUGAUUGGUGCUUAGAUUCUGUGCAGACAGAAUGCUGUUGUCUUAAUUGAAUUUGUGAGACAAGUUCCAGGCUCCGAGAACUCUUUAUAGGGUAUCUGCCUAAAGUGACCGAGCAAGCACUACGUCGUCGUCCUAGAGCAACAAUACAGCCUAAUUUAGGCAGUUGAAAAAUUCCUAUUCACAGGGAACGUUUAUGGCCAAAGAGUGUGUCUUAAUAACCGAAUAUACUCCUAAGAAUCGCCUUUAUUUAAGCUGUAGAAGACUGAGAAAGAAUAAGAAGAAUGGUGGGGAGGUGUUUUCCCCAUCUUCCAAGCAGGGCACCAUGCUGGAGGUCACUUUAAGACAAGAUGAAGAGCCUUGCUCCUGGGGAGCAUCGGCUGCAGCUGGAAGAGCAGCAAACGAGGCUGGCCAGUCAGUAUGUGGAUCACAGGAUUUAUCAACGCUUGAUGCAGAUAAACUGAGUUCUAUCUUGGAAGAUUUGAACUCAGGACCUUCGGAAGAGCAGUCGGGUGUUCUUACCUGCUGAGCCAUCUCACCAGCCCACCCCUCCAAAUCUUACACUCAAGAUUAUAGCCUCCUUUGGACUAACAGCUUCACUUCAAGGAUACAUCUCAUCUGAAAACUCCUGCACCAGGUAACCUAAGCUACAGAAUGCUGUUUCCUUGUGAAAACAAUUUAUUAGGCCCCGUGGAACCAAUAUCCUGGAGUUGUAGAGGAGAAAAAUAAAUUCUUGCCUCAUAUUUCCUCACCUGAAACAUGGAACGCAACGUUGUAAUUUCGAGGCCUGGGUUUUAUGUGAAGGUCGUCUUUAAGGGAUACAGCCAUAACAAUUUGGGCUGCAUAGCAGACGCUUUUAAGACUAUGCAAGUAUUUAUUAAGAAGUGUGCUUUCUAAAUCAACAAAGGAACUGAGUGGGACCUAAAGAUUCCUCUCCAGGAAGGUACCUUUGUCUCAAUGAUAGCUGGGACAUCGAGCCUCUAUGUUCUGGAAGAGUCUCUGUGUCAGAUGGCCGGCUUAAUGGCCUUCCCAUUUCCAUCACUAACCAUGUUGACAGCCUACCUUUUCCAACUGAUAUGCUGGCAUUGUAAUUUAUCUUCAAAAAAAUAAAUCACAUGUUAUAGCCUUUCUACCCUUUAAAAGAGGGAAGAAAUGAAGAUCCCAGCAGGCAAUCUUUUCUGCCAGGCCUGAGGAAAAUGGCAUCAGCGCCCUCUGCAGCUGAUGGUGUGUAUGUGCAGGAAAACAUCAUGGAGAUUCAGAAACAUUUUAGACAGAAGAUGGUUUAGAAGGAAGACUUUCAUUGCUCUUCUGAAGGAAGGUUUUCCUUGGAGCUACCAUCCGACUCUCUCACCCUCAACCCUGAUCCUGCAUCAUUUGUCUUGGUCUCUUCUGAAGGACAACAGGAGGAGACAUGUGUCACACUCAAAGUGUGGAUAUUCUGGAAGACAACCAGCCUACUCUGUAAAACUGUCAGGAUCUUACCAGGACAGAAGGAAACAUCCAAGUACAUGGUCCCCCUUAAAGGGUGGGUGCAUCGUGUAUGUAAAAAGAUGGUCAGGGUUCAGGUUGUACUGGAGAAAGUGGAUAUGGGGAAGCAUCAGCCUGGCCACUUGCUCUCAAAUACUU
rnacentral:lncRNA from 1 species